CGGGCGGUAGCUCAACUUGGUAGAGCACUGCGUUUGGGACGCAGCGGUUGCAAGUUCAAAUCUUGUCCGCCCGACCA
rnacentral:tRNA from 1 species